rnacentral:piRNA from 1 species
UAAAAGCUCCGAUCAUUGAGCUGAGGUUC